rnacentral:rRNA from 1 species
AUUGAACGCUGGCGGCAUGCUUUACACAUGCAAGUCGAACGGCAGCGCGGUCUUCGCCCUCUCGUCCAGUUGCGGACUGGCGAGUGAUGCAUCGGAACGUGCGCAGUUACUUGUGAUAGCGCGGCGACAUACGGAUUCAUACCCCAUACCACCAGACGAUGUAAGGGGGGGAGCGAAAGGCCUUGCGCCCUUGCACCGUCCGAUGUCGGAUUAGCUGGUUGGUGGGGUAAAGGCCUACCAAGGCGACGAGCCGUCGCUGGUCUGCGAGGCUGACCAGCCACACUGGGACUGGGACACGGUCCAGACUCCUCAGGGGGGGAGCAGGGGGGAAUAUUGGACAAUGGGGGCAAGCCUGAUCCAGCCAUACCGCGUGGGGGAAGAAGGCCUUCGGGUUGUAAAGCCCUUUUGUUGGGGAAGAAAAGCCGCAGGUUAAUACCCCGCUGGUGUGACGGUACCCAAAGAAUAAGCACCGGCUAACUUCGUG